UUUUUUUUUCUUUUUGUUUUGUCGACGAGAUCUUUGCAAGAUUCUUUUACGGCGCCACGUGCGUUGCGCUGAUAGGCAGCCAAGAUUUCUUUUGGUUGGCAACUUGACAGGCAGUCAAAGUAAACCUGAUAUGCAGUGUAGUGGACCGCUUGCGUGUGUAGGAAGAAGAGAAGCAACAAAGGGCCGUCGAAAGUGGGCAUCCGAACCGCAGGUGUGAAGUGAGAACGCACGGCAGUACUACAAAGUUAAAGUUGGAGCACAUGGCGCAGACGAGGAACGACUGCCGUCGGCGGGCAGGGGAUAAACCCAUUUUUUGAUUUUAAUAUUACUACUAGGAAACGGCUGCAGCGACUCGGCCGGCCCCACCCCCACGGCCGAAAACCCCCUUUCUUUCUAUUUCUAUUUCUAUAUAGGGUACAUCGUCUGCUCCUCCCGUUCCCCUCCAAAAACCCAAACCAAAACCAAAGAGAGCCCCCCACCCAUCCAUCGGCUUCGGCUUCGGCGUCGGGCGUCGGCGUCGGGCGUCGGCGGGCGGCAUGGUGGUCUGCGUUCCUGCCGCCGAGACCCCUGCGCUGGAGCUGGGCCCUCUCCACAGCUCGCUCUGCCUCGCGCCCGCCGCCUCGCUGGAACUUCCCCUUCCCGGCAUGGCGCGGGCCGACGCCAGGCGGCCGUCGGAGGGCCCCGAUCAGAUCCCAGGCAAUCCACCUCGCCGCAUUGCGCGCCUCGUCCAUCUGGAUCCCGCGCACCUCGCCGCGGUGACCGCGGCCCUUGGGCUCCACAUCGCCGGCGGCGCAAGCCCGAUCCCCUCUCUCGUGCAGCGCAGAGACGACGCCUCCGACUCCGGCUCCGGCUCCGGCUCCGGCUCCGACGACGACACCGGCCAUCCUAAUGACCGGCACCUCUGCUACCCACUCAUCCAGUUGCUGGAAACAGGGGGCGCCCGCAUCUUCUUCCCAGGCUCGGUUCCAGACCUUCCCGACGCUCCGCAAGGCGGCGGCCUGCACAGGUACAUACCAUAUGCGCCGACCAUCGCCACCCCUUCGUCCUGAAUGUCUGAUUUGAUUCCGCGCAGUUUCUCCACCAAGUCCAACCUCACUGCUCCAAUCAUAUUUUUUUAUUUUUUCUGUACAUUUGAUUUGAUUCCGUACGCUACACACUCAUCGUCAAUCAAUCCCAUUUGGUAAUGGUCAGAUCGUGCCCGUCGUGCGAUUGCGGUCCUUAGUUUGAGCAGUAGCGCUUUUGGGUGCAUUCACGGAUGCUACUUCUGAUGCGGUGGAGUAGUUUUCAAUGUCUUUCCUUUUCCAUAAACAGCUUUCCUUUCUAGUAUUUCUGAUGUGUCCUUUUUGUUUGUGUUUUUUGGUCCGUGUCUGGUGUUUUUCUGUGUCCAAGACUAGCGGUAGCGGGGCAGGGAGCUAGCUAGUUGCUCUUAACUGAUUAUAGUCAAUUGAUUGGCAGUACACAAGUACCUCAACCUAUUCAACCAGGGACAGUCUUUGGAAUAAUAAACCAUGCGGUUUCUUCCACCCCAAAUGUUGCAUCCACACAUGUCCUGCAAAUGAUGAUGUUCAAAGCAGGGUGCUUGCUUGGGGGACACAGCGGGCCAUCAGCCAUAACCUUAUUUCGAUUGAUCCAGCCGCAGCCGUAACCCAUCUUGCUUUCUGCUAUCAACUAUGCAAAGCAAAUGGAUAUUUGAAUGCAUUUGUUUCCUGUCGAUGCUUUCCAAACAAUGUCAGAGUUUUACUUGGAAACUACCAUCCUUGCAUGUAGAUUACAUGUUUAGCGCCUUGGUACAUCAGGGUUUGAGCAAUCUGAAGCCGGAGGGACACUAACCCUUUUGAUCACAGUGUAGAGUUAUUUUUUCUGAAGACUCUAAGCAAACUUCCAUUGCCUACCUCUUUGCAUGCUUUCCUGUUAUAUGUCGGUUAUGGUUGAUCAAACUUGGGGCUAAAUCUUUCGGUGCUUGGCCAUGGAGCCAUCUAGAAUGCCAAGAACAUAAAGACACUUCAUACCUCGCUCUGAUCUGUAACACCACAUCCAGAAUGGCUUUCACACCGUGAUUGUUGUCUCCUGGGUCCUUUGGAAAGAAAGGAACAAACACAUGUUCAAUAGCUAAAGGAGAAUGACCCAGGAUGUUAUCUUUGCCAUCUCUAAAGAAAGGGUGCCGUGGAGGAUGCGAAGAGUCAUGGAGUACUAUAGAAUGCUUGGCCGUGCGACCAUCCUGUGCUUAUUUGCUUAAUGUAUCUUUUCUUAUAGGGUGAUUGCCUGUUGCUGCUCUUCAGUGUAUAGUUCUAGCUGUUUGUCUCUUGCUGUUGUAUUGAAUCUUUAUCUUGUUUCUUGAUACAAAUAUGGGCAGUCCCCCUGCCGGUUCUCUGCAAACAAAAAAGUUUUGGCUCUAUGUUGAGGCUGCAAAUAAGACUUUCUCACUCUCGUCACAGUUCACAAGUUACCUGUGUACCUACCCAGAGCUUUUGCUUGUUAUUUCUGUACACAAAGUUCUCUUCGUAUAGAAAAAUGUAUUUCUUGAGGGUAAACUACCUACUGAAUAUUUCCGAAAGAAAAUUUUCCUAGUGGAUCCCCUGUCUAAUGCAAACCACCAAGCUUUCUUGCUGAUAAUCUUAUCGUGUGUACACCAACUCUGUUUCAACUGUUCUGGAGAUUUUGAAUCACUACUAUUAUGGCAUACACAUAAUACAAUUCUGUAUAACAAGUAUUUGAGGGCGAAAAAUAUUCAUGGGUCAACGUGGGACCAAAAACAGCCCACCUGAACUCAUCAUUCCAUUAGAAGACAGAUAACAAUUUCUACAUUCAUAGCAAAAUCUUACAAUAAGGGAAAUGUCGUUUGUUUUUUUUGCACAAUUUCUAGUUCACUGUGAAUAGCAUGUUAGGUGGUUUAAAUCAGUGCAAGUGGUCCAUAAUAUUUACAUUGGUUUCCUAGUAAGUCAAAAUUAGCAGAUACGCAGAGAAGAAGAAUACGUAGCAAAACAAUGUUAAUUCAAGCCUUUCAGUAGGUGAUAAUACUUCCAUUCUCAACAUGAGUCAUCACUACUAAAUAAAUAAAAAGGAAAAGAUGCAUAUACAUCACACUGAUGCCUUGUAGAACAUUGCAGACAGCCAGGGGGCUCAUCACUGUCAGGUUAUUGAAGCCACAUGUCAUUAAAAAGCGUAGCAGUUAUACAAAUUGACCCGUUUCAAACCAAAAGACGGAGCUGUAAUUUUUAAGCAAGGUCCUGCUUUAAACCAGGUACAUUAUGAAAACAUAUAUUUAAAAAUUCCAGCUGAAGCUAAUAAAUCCUGUUCUGUUUGUCUUUACAUUAUGAGGUUUCUUUUUGGUAUACAUCAUGCAAUGCAUAGUUGAAUUGAUGUUCUUGGUGAGGACAAUAGUGUCUUCGAUGCUUUAUGAUUUAUAGAAACUUCCAGAAACCUUGUAUUUAUGCACUUCUUUUUGCGGGUGGUGUAUUUAUGCACUUUGAAGUACAUUAUGAAGUUUUAAUCUUGACCAUAUUACAGGAUAUCCGAUGCAUAUGGCAAUCCAUAUAUCCUCAAGGCAGGCACAGAAAGCUUUGCAGGUCCUUGUGAGCUGACCAAUGAAACGACAAGGACUUGGGUCAUUAGGCUCAAAAUCACUACCAAACUCGUUUCUUUAAGUCAGCAACAUCUGCAUGAGCAGAAUUGGGAAUUGUCUGAAGAAUGCUUUGCAGAGGUAGCUGGGCAAUCUUUAGAGAAGCUCCUUGAAGUUGCAUGUUCCUUCAGUGAUGCCAAUUGGUCUGAUGUCCAUAUCCACAACAGCUGUCUGUUUUUGACGCACUUGUUGAUGUCCUAUUCAAUAUACAAGACCUACGUUUCAGCAGAUCUGGUGAGGUUGCUGGUAUUAUUAAUAAGAUGGUGAAUGCUUUCAAAGGAGUGAUUGAGGGGACUUCAAAUGAAAUCUGUGGCAUCAAAGAAUCCACCAUCCACCCAGCAACUUUCGUUCUCAUACAAGUCCUGGAAUUCUUCUGUCGUAACAAAGAUAUGGUGCAGUCAAUACUUGAAUCUGGAGAUUACAACACUGGCCCAUGCUCUGACAUGUUUUCUUGUUUGGCAUCCAAGCUCAAGGAAUGUGCAGAAACAGUUUUCCAACAAAAGGGACAAAGGUACAUAUUUGUGUUAAAUAACAUGUAUUAUGUUCUGCAAAAGAACCGCCAUUCAGGAUUACUCCCUCCGAAUGUAGCAGCUACUUUGGUUUCAGUGAUUGACCAAUACGUGGUGAGCUACCUUGAUGAGUACUGGUUUCCACCUAUGCUGUUGUAUCUGGAUGGGGAUUCUCUGAAGAAGCCACGUCGUUCAUCCCUGCAUAAUUUUAUUGGAGAAUUCUUCAGAACAUGUAAUGGCCAGAUGACUUGGAAAGUUCAAACUGAGCUUAAAAACAUACUACGGGAAGAGAUAGUGAAUUUGAUCGUUCCAAAAUACGUAAACUUCUCAGAGGUGCUGCAGGCAAAUCCAAGGCGGUGCUGGUCGUCUUGGUUAAAGGGGAUGUGGCGAACAAGAUCUGAGAAGCUGGAGUGUACUGGUGCAGAUUUGGCAAAGGUGAUUGGAAGAUUGUUCGAGAGAUAACAGGCGGCAGGUAACACAGAAGAGAGGGCACACCAGGCUUAUAUGGGCGGGUGCAUUUAUCCUAUAUUAGCAUUUAGAAUGCAUUUUGUGUGAUGGCUCCAUAUAUGCGACAUUUUCUGGUAUGAGCCUGCUUGCUGUAUUAGCAAGAUUUAGCGCUGGAGGUUCCGGAUAGAAUUUAGUGUAUGCUGCAUAUUACCUGCAGUUUUGUUUCUGUCGUAUAUAUAGUUUUUUUUGUUACGUGUAUGUAAUAUGUAGAGGAACUUCCAGUUUUGUUUGUGUAAAAUGUAUAGAUUUUUGUCUCUCUCUAUCUCUCAAACACGCACGUGCUGCUAAUGUUGGAUAUAGAUAGCAUGUUAGAAAUGGUAAAAAAGUAAUGUUGCGGGAAGAUAUCUGACCUGGCUGGCCAUUGUAGACUAGCUAUUUUAUACUGGACCUGUUUGUUGUGGUGAAUGAGCGGCAUUGUACAAUUGCUGAUUCCUGCGAUGGAAGUGGAACUAAUUUGAAAUUCAAUUUUUCGUACAUGUGUACAUGUCGCAGGCUUUGUAUGCUAGAUGAUGGAGCAAAUGUCCACCAUUGUGGAAAAGAUUCGAUGCAGCUUCACCACUCGGGUAGGAAUUUUUCUUAAGAAUUUCUUUGUACUAAUUUCAAUAGGAUUUGUAGCGGCCAUUCAAAUCUCUUUGAAACAAUCCUUUGUUUUUUCUAUGAUGCAAUCAAUCAAUCCUAUAUUUUUCCUAGUCUCGUGUUCUUGGAAACCUGCGAAUCAAAAAGGCCCUUAAUGUGUGUGUGCUUGUUGGGUAUGGGUGCUUGUUUUUGGCUGAAGAAAAUACAAUUUACCUAAAGUGAAGUGGAACAGCUUACAGGUACGUAGUACUCAGAUUUGGACAUUAUGGCAAUAAUAACAGCAACAACAAAGUCCAAAACAUUACAUUGAUUGAAUACAAGCUUGGUUUGCAAGAGUUGGAGAACAAGCUCCUAAACUAGUGCACACAGCACCUCACAACCACACGGGUUUACAUGAUUCCAAAUAUCCAAAUACAACCCACUAAUUACAUAGAACACAACAUAAGCAAAAGUACAGCAAAUUGUUCUGAUAAAAAGCAAGAUCUCAACAGUCCACUCGCCGGAUAGUCCUGCCCAUGCCUGUCGACCCAGGGGUCGAACAUGACCGGAACUGGAGCACGAAAGUCAGAUCACCGUCGGCGACGAGCGCCCAGACGACUCGCAGUUGCCUCUGGGUCAGCCGGUCGGGAGCGCACAACCAACAGAUCGGCAUCGCGCCUCCGGAGUCCUGAGAGAAAGCCAAAGGGGGAUGCAGCGCCACACGAACCCGCGCCACCGCCGACCAAGUCGGAUCCUUGAGCGAGCUCGCGUACGGACGUCAUCCACCACCACCACCCACGCGAUUCCAUGGUUCCCAUCGGCGGCGACGGAGGGGAUGGAACGGAGGCCGGCAGUACUGGCGGCUGCGGCUGGAGGUUCCGCCCGUGUCGCCCGCCUAUACUAUCCUAUCCUAUCCUAUCCUUCACAGGGAACUAACAGCAGAGGGCGCUGAAGGUCUCCUCUAUAGCACGGAGUAAAGAUCAAUAGUGAAGUUGUUGAUAAAAUAUAUGGAAACUGUUAAUGCUUCCCUUUUUAACUGUGAUAUCAGCUCUCUUUCUGCACUCAGCUUUCCAUAAUUUUCCCUAAAAGCUUUUGGUAUAUGCCACUGCAUGAUUAUGAGUUUAUCUCCUCGAAACAUUUCCAUCAUUUCAUGGUUUUCUAAAUUAUGUGCUACGAAACCACACACUUCUCCUGAAAUGCCAAUUUGGCAAGGUCAAGUGACAACAACUGACUGAAAUGAACAUUUCACAUGACCUGUAAAAUAACUCAUAUUUUGACUAAGCCCAGGAUUCCAUAAGGUCAAGUACAAUGGACCAGCAAAACAUGGCUGAACAACUCAAAAUCAUUGGGUUAAUCCAACCAUUUGAGAUGUGUUCCUACAAUAAUUAGUCAUGUUAAUCUCUUCCGGUCACUAAAAAUUUAAGAAAUUCCCAGAUGAGGGAGACCCUCCUAAUGUAACAGCUAGUGUGAUGGUUCCACCAAAGCCACCUGGGUUCGAGUCUCCCACCUACACCCAAGUGCAAAGCUUCCCUUACAGUUUUUCUUGAAAAGAAAAGACAGGGUUUUUCCUCCCUUUCGCCUUUUCUUUUUGAAAUUCAGAUUUUGUAAGCUUCUCAUGAACAUGCAGAAACACAUACAAAAUUACAAGCAAAAACAGAGAGCAAAAACAGAGACUUAAAAUUUAUAUAUACCUUCACAAUAUUCUGUUACUCGAUCGAUACACUAGGUACAAUUGCAAGCUUCUCAACAUAAUGCCCUUUCAUGUUUCUUGACUUCCUGGACAAUUCAGGGUGGCACCGAAAGAUAUAAAGUGUUUCCAGUGACGAUGGCAGAUACGGUAAAGAUUGAAGCUCUGUGCAGUACGACAUUCUCAGCCCCUUCAGAUAUGAAAGGCUCAUAAAGUUCACAGGAAAUGAUGUUGCAGUUACUUCAGGGCACCUCUCAAUCACCAGAUAUUUUAGUGAAGCAAGAUACUGCAAUGAGGAUAGAGAACAAAGCGAUUGACAGUUGCGAAUGCACAACUCAGUGAGCACUGUGCAGAACUUAACUGUUUCCGCUAACGGAAGUGAUGUGAUGUUAGGAAGGUCUAGAAUCUCCAAAUAAGACAAACAAGGCAGAUCCUGAAGAAAGCUUCUUAGUGUCUGGUCAGUAAGAUUACACCGAGAGAGCUGAAGCCUUUGCAGAGAUACCAGAGACCCCAGUUGUUCAGCAGCAGCAAGCUGCUCAGCCCCACUUAUGUUUAACACUGCAAUGGACUGUAUAUGAUGUUUGUAGAGUAAUCUAUUGAGGAUGACAGAACUUGUGCAAACGUCCAGCUGGAGCAUUUCUGAACUUGAAGAAAAGGGUGCAAGCCUCAUAUAUGGUAUCAACCGUGUUCGUUCGAUGGUAACUUCACGAGUAGCUUGGCAGAACAAAGGAAUUUUGAUCAAUUCUGGACAAUCCAUUAGACUUACCCUUUCAAGGCAUGGAAAUGAGUUCUUGUCCUCUAUGCCAGCCCACUCACACAACUUCGGGAAAUCAUCAAUUUCAAGGACACUUAGAGAUGGAAAUGCCACAUCACCGGUGCCAUAAAACUCAUGUCCAAUUCGAUCAACUGCACACAUCUCCUUCAUGUGUAAAUAUCUGAGUGAUCCUAAAUUUCCCAAUGGAGGAAGGAUGCACAAGCUCCUGCAAUUGAUGAGGCGCAAAGAACGUAGUUGCUGCAGUGACUGCAGCCAACUAGGAGCUUUGGCGCCACAAUACCUUCUAAUAUUAAGUACCUUUAUGGCAUGGUGAGGCCGCAGACCUUCAAGCACCUUUGCAUCAGCAGGAGGGGAGCUAUUUCUACUAGCUGAGCUCCAUUCCAAAUUCAGAAAAUUAAGAUAAAGUUUCUUAUUCAACUCAGCUUUGCGGGCUUCUUCAUAGCCUGAAACAUUUUCUAGACAUUUUAUUACUAACCCAUGAAGACCAUCAAUGUUCCUCAAUUCUUCUGGUUUGCGCCCUUCCAACUUCGCAAUGUGGAGCUCAAGUGAUCCCUGAAGGUUUGCUAGCCGGCCAAUGCCUACCAGUCCUGCAGUAUACUUCAUUUCAACCAUAAGAUGCCGCAAAUUGACCAACAUACUAACGCUCGCAGGAAGCUUCUCAAGGGAACAUUUCCCAGAGAUGCACAAUGUUUGCAGAUGCAGAAGCUUGCCAAUCGACUCAGGAAGUCUCUGGAUGGAGCCAUGGAUAGAUAGGUAACGGAGGUGCAGUAAGUCAUAAAUGCAAUGAGGUAACUCUUUGGAGUUAUAGCCACUGAGAUCAAGAACACGCAAAUGUUUGGACUUCUUCAAGAUACUUUCUAAAUUCACAGCAAAAUCCUCUUGGAAGCAACUGGAGGAGGACGGAAGUGAUGGUUGGAUGAACAAGGUGAGCAGCUCUGGUAGCCCACUGAAGCUUGUGAGACCAAGUAGACUCUUCACAGUGACGGACAGAUGGCGCACUGUUGAUGGGAUGUCACAUUUCAUGCCAUCCUCAAUAUGGAAGCAGUCCUCCGCUGCAACAGACUUUGCAAGAUCAUGGAGUAAGUCAUGCAUUAAGUAGUAAGUACUGGAUCCAAGCUUGAUUUCUUGGAAAAAUGAGCGUGAAAGGAGCAGACCAAAAUAUUCUCUGGCUAUGUCUUCCAUGCUUUUACCAGCCCUGCCUUGUGGUUGAACAAAGCCCUCGGCAAUCCAAAGGCGGGACAACUAUGUUGGAUCAAACUUAUAGUUCUGUGGAAACAGACUGCAAUAUGCGAAGCACCGCUUGAGGUGUACCGGUAGGUACUUAUAGCUCAAGCGCAGGGCAGGGAGAAGAGCAUUGUCUUGUAAUCCUGUUUUCAUGAUCUUCAUCCAGUGAUUUUUGCUCCUUGUAUCUCCCAGCAAACCUCCCACCAGCUUGGCAGCCAGAGGUGACCCAUUGAUUUUUGCAGCAAUCUGCUUCCCUAUCGGGUGAAGAUCUGGACAGGCAUUGUCGCGACCACUUGGAAAAGCAUGUUCCUUGAGGAUGGCCCAGCAAUCGUCGCUAUUCAGCGGAUUUACAGGGUAUAGAUGCGAUGCACCGAGGAAGUGAGGCACGGUGUUCAUGCGAGAAGUUGCCAGAAUUCUGCUACCAAUACCUGCCGACUGUAGAGGAGCCAUCAUGUCCAGCCAGGUAUCGUCCAUGCCAUUACAGAUAUCAUCAAUAACAAUGAGAUACCUCUUGGAGGUAACAAGUCGACGGAGCUCGGACUGAAGCAUUUGGAAAUCCGCCAUCUUCUCAUCGGAUGCAUCCCAAGCUGGCUGGGCUGACCUUAAGAUCUCCGCUGCCAGGUCCAUUCUGUUGGAACUAGUGGAAACUGAGACCCAACAUCUGACAUCAAAAUGCUUGGCAACUCUUGUAUCAUUGAAUACCAUCUGAGCGAGCGUGGUCUUCCCAAUUCCUGCGGUGCCAACAAUGGAAACCAUCAUGUGAGGUGCAGGAACCUUGGCGCACAGCUUGACGAGCAUCCGCACGACGUCAUCCCUGUCCUUGUCGCGCCCAACAGACACCCCCGCCUGAAGGACUUGCCUGCCUGAAUCAGGCAGCAUCGGCUGCGGUGGCAAAGUGCAGAGCAGGUCGCCAAUCUUGCGAGUUUCUUGAUUCACCGCCUUGAUGCCCCCCGUGAAGCUGUGGGUCGGCUUGGACGCAAAAAGUGCAACAAGAAGGCGGCUGCAACCACACCACCUCAGAGCGGAAAGGAGCUUGGGUCCAUGGGCAAGGAUCUGGACCAGGGAGCUGGGCUGAAAUUUACCGUACUGGACCUUGUCCUGCAGGAGCUGGAUGAAGUGGACGGCGUCCCUGGCCUGCAGAGCCAGCGCCUUGUCGCCGGCACGCUGCGGGUAAGCGCCGGCACAGAUGCUCCAGAUCUGGAGCAAAUGGGCGACGAGAAGGUCCAGCACGGGGUCGGCGACCUUGGAACGGCACCUCGUGAGCUCCCAUUUCCGACGGGCCCUGUGGCAGGAGUGGAUCUCGGCGGCCAGUCCCUCCAUGGCCCGAAACGCCGAGAGGACCAGCCGCAGCGCCUCCGCCAGGCUUGCAGCAUCCAAGCCGCCAGCUUCCUCCAUGGAGAUGGAGAUGGAGAUGGAGGGCUUCAUCCACCGGCUCUUGCCGCUAGCGGCGGUUUCAUUUGGGCGUCAGACUCGGAAGUGUGUUGGGUUGGGUGGUGCCUCCUCUGAGCUCUGAACUGAUGAUGGUUGCCGCUCUCGACGAGCCUUAUCUACACUACACCAGGCAAAAGCAGUCCACCACUGCCAUGCGUCAUAAUCAUCUACUACAAGAGCAAACAGUGAGCUGCUGCGCCCCACAUUGGAUGGAUCUGGGCGCUCGUUUUCAAUCGGACGGGGCUCGGAGCGAAUUCCGAGCACCUCAAUAAUGCUCGUUGUCAACUUUCUUCUUCUUUCUGAUGCCCCGUCCCUGUCCACUUUCUUCUUCUUUCUUAUAAGUAUUCCCUCUGUCCCAAAAUAUAGGGAAAAGUCCAAAACAAAUCUUUAAUUUGUAGGUGAAAGCUAAAUUAAACCCCGAACUCUCAAUCCCUGAAAUCAGCACACCAAACUUUCUAAUCCCGGUCUAUUUUAAACCUUGACAGAACACAACCGGGAUUUGCUGAAUUGGGCCGGCCCAGUAGCGCAGUUGCUCGCGCGCGCACACUAAUCUGGUUUUUUCUUAGUUUCUUCCUUUUUCGUUUUCUUUUCUUUUUUCAUUUUUACACAUGUCUAAUUUUUCUCAGUACCCAAUGUACAUUUUUAACGCACACAUUAAAUAUUUUUGGAUAAAAUUUUGAUAAUUUCAAAUACAUUAUGUACAUUUAUAAAUUACAUGUUUUAAAAACUGUUUGAAUACAUGGUAAUAUUUUUUCAACCACAUGUUUUACAUUUCUUAAUGACAAUAAAUAUUUUAUAAAACUACACAACACUCUUUUACGUGGUUCAACAUUUUUAAAUUUGCACACACUUUUUUCAAGGACAUGCCACAUAUAUUCUGUUAAGGUUAUGACACAUUUUUUACACCACACAAACAUUUUUUUAAACUUGUUAACACAUUCUUUUAAAAAUGUCACAAACACAUUUUUUGGAACUCGUGAUCGUUCUUGAAAUGUUAAUUUUUUUGAAUGUAUAAAACAUUUUUUUUGAAUGACACAAAUAAUAUUAUACAUUGUAUUAACAUUUUGGAUUGGCCCGUACAUUUUUUAAAACUUCUGAUAUUUUUUAGAUGUCACAAAAUAUUUUCAGGUUUCAUAAAAUGUUUAUGUACCAAAACGUGUCCGCACUUUAAUAUUUUGUUCAGGUUGCAGAAGAAAUGUAUGUUUCAAAAAGUGUUCGCACUUUAAAAUUUUGUUCAGGUUUCAAGAAAUGUUUAUAAAGGUGUUCGCUUUUUCAAAGUUGUUGGUUUUUUAAAAGUAUUCGAAAUUUCAAAAGAGUUCCCGCAAUGUUCAACGAUUUCAUAAAUAAAUACGUAAUUUUGAAAAUAUGAAAUAUUUUUCAUAGCAUGUGAAAAACUGUUGGAAUUCUGAACAUUUUUUGAUAAAUGUGAUUUUUUUGAAAUCGGAAGCAGUUUUUAAAAAAUGCUAAUAGAGUUGAUUUUGUGUGAAACACGAAAUUCCAAACAGUUUUUAAAAACAUAAAACGAAUUGAAUUUGUGCGAAAAAUAUAAAACAGAAACAUUUUUAACUUUUAAGCAAUUUUAGAAAUGUGCGAACAUUUUUUAAACCUCACGAAUUCUUGUUGUGUUAUAGUGGGCCGGCCCAAAUUAUAGUCUGUGAGAGUAGCUGGAAUCCCGGCCGGGAUUGUAGUCUUCCCAGUGUGCCAAACAGGUUUAGGGUCCAAAAUAGACCGGGAUUACAAGUUCAGAGUGCCAAUUUCCGGAAUUUAAAGUUCAGGGUUUGAUUUAGCUUUUGUCUACAACUUCAAGGUUUAUUUUGGACUUUUUUCCAAAAUAUAAGAACGCUUUUAACAUCAUACUAGUGUAAAAAACGUUCUAUUAUGGGACGGAGGGAGUAAUACGUAAUAACAAGAAAACCACGAGUUACGACACGCUCGCAUCGACCGUGUGAAUGCUCAAGUACGUGUGAAUGCUCAGGUAAACUAGAGCAUCUCUCUGUAGAACCCUUAUUUCACGCCAACCUGUAAUGUAAAAUAAUCGUCGAUUUACAGUUUUACGUGGAAAAAUGAUUUGAACAGACAUCUUAAACAUCCCUCUCUAAUCUCUAAUUAUUUUUUUGAUAAAACGCCCCUUUUCAAAAAAAAAAAAAUGGCGCGAUAAAUUGCCCCCGACCCGCAAAAAUGCAGGUUUUUCCCCGCCCCGUCGAUGCACUGUAUAGUGGAAAAUCAGUUGGCGGGAGGGACAUUUCAGCCCGCAUGCGUUCCUCUCCCCCAUCGCCGCCCACCCGCCGCCUUCGAUUCCGGCUAUAUCCGCCGGCUGAAACACACAGCCGGACCGCUGCAGACCGGGGUCCACCGCGCCGCUUCGCCGGCGCCACGGAUCCGCCGCGCCCGGGUCACAGCCGCCUCGAAUCGACCGCCGCUGAGUCACCGCUCGCCCUGAAUCCACCAGUGAGUCCUUUUCUGGCCCUUCAAGUUAGAUUUAGCGAACGAUUUGCAUUCAUGCGAGCUUCGUUGCGAUUUGUAUAUGGAUUUGAGCCCUUGCGAGAAAUUUUUGCUCGAGGAUUUGUCCUUGUUCGACAUCUCAGACAUAGAGAUGCUGCUCGAGAACAAUCGACGGCAAAUGGUGUUGGUGGUCCUCGCCGCGAAGGAGUUCGAGGAUAGGAACAGAAAAAGACGACAAGGAUCGACUGUCGGCCGCCUUUGCAUCCCUCGCAGCCUCCAUCUCGGAAAUGUGAUGUUGAUGCAAGACUACUUCGCGGUGUCACCUACGUAUCCGCCACACCUCUUUCGGAGAAGGUAUCGAAUGCGCGGAUCCCUCUUCGUAAAAAUAGUAGAAGCUUGCGAGGCCAAUCCUUGAUUUUUUACCAAAGGAGAAACGCCGCAGAAUUGAAGGGUUUUAACACAUACCCAAAAAAACUCGGCAGCUAUGCAGGUGAUUGCAUAUGGCAUUCUGGUUGACUAUGCUGACGAAUAUCUUCGCAUUGGCGAAGAUACUACAAUUGAGUCAGUGCGUAGAUUCGCCAAAGUGAUCAUCUGUGUCCUUGGUCCUGCCUAUCUUCGGGCACCCAACGAGGAAGAGACAAAAAUGUUGAUGGCAACAAAUGAGAAGUGAGGUUGGCUGGGCAUGCUAGGAAGCGUUGAUUGCAUGCGUGGACUUGAAAAAACUACCCGAAGGCAUGGCACGGGUAGUAUUGUGGCAAGUCUCGAGAUGCAAUAAUUGUGCUACAGGCCAUUGCAUCCGAGGAUUUAUGGAUUUGGCAUUGCUUCUUUGAUUUGUCGGGUACUCUCAAUGACAUCAAUGUGGUGCAUCGGUCUCAUUUGUUUGCUAGUGGUGAUGCCCCUGCAACUACACGGUGAAUGGGCAUUAGUACACAAAGGGCUACUAUCUUGCUGAUGGUAUUUACCCUUCUUGAUCUAUAUUUGUAAAGACCAUCAGAAACCCCCCAAAAGGAAGCAAGCUGGAUUUGCAAAGGCACAAGAGGCUGCCUGAAAAGAUAUUGAAAGAGCCUUUGGAGUUUUGCAAGUUAGGUUUGCCAUUGUUCGUAGUCCUGAUCGUUUUUGGGGCAAGCGAACGCUGAACAACAUCAUGACAUGCCACGUGAUUCUUCACAACAUGAUCAUCGAAGAUGAGACGAACAUGGACUUGAAGUUCUUCUACGACAAUGUUGGUAACCGAGUGAAGCCAUCUAGAGACCUUGACCGCAUAGAAGCAUUCAUUCAGACAUACCGGAAAAUUGAAGACUCAAACACCCACCACCAGCUUCAGCAUGAUCUCAUUGAGCACAAUUGGCAAAGACAUGGGCAGUAAUAAAACGUGCCAUUUUUACAUUCAUUUAGUUUAAUUCAUGUGUGAUUUGUACCAUUGUUGUAUUUGGAAUAAUUCUUAUAUUGAAUUAUAAGUUUAAUUCUUAGAUUUAAAUAAUUAUCAUAAUUUAGAUGAUUGUUGGAUUGUAAUAUUCAGAUUUUAAUUUAUUCGUAAGUUGAGAAAAAACCACGUGUUUUAAGAGCUGGUGCGAGCUGCAGGGGAAUAGGCCCCGCAAGGCCGGACGGUAAAGCAGGAUAUUCUGUGAAUAUUCUGUUUUACCGUUCGGUCGCAGGCCGUGUCAGCCCUCAAAACACGUUUUUCGUGGCCCUUAUGCUCACUUUAAAGUUUCGCGCGAUAAGGGGUUUGCUAGAGAUGCCCUUAGUGUUGUUUGGAUAUAGGGAAUUAGAUGUGAGAUUUUAGAAAACGUGUUUUGGGAAGAUUUUUAGGAAAACCAGUUUUGGUUAGUUAUUCUGUUAAGGUUAGCAUACAUGAUACCUUGUUUGGAUGGAUAAAAAUAGAAAAAACCCAAUUUUGAGUUCCUCCCAAAACAAUUCAUUGAGGUGCGGUGCUUUGGCUUGCUUUUGUCAUCUACAUGCACAACGAUGGACAGCCAUACCGUAAGCGCGGCCAUCGCCGAGGCCCCCAGGGUGGUCGCGCUGCUCGCCUAAUCGUGCUCUGCUUCGUUCGCCGGUGUCAUCCAUGUUGGCUCAGGCUCCAUCGAAGAGGCACGUACAUGCAGCUCACAUACGAAGUACACGGCGUAAAAGCACGUUGAUUGGUUCUCACGCCGGGCACGCAUGUAUAGCACCUAGCUAGCUGCUGGAAAAUGAUUCGCCGGCAACACCAGAGCACAACAGACAUGCUAGGAAGGCGCGACGACAACGUACAAGCUGGAGCAUAUCGGACAACCACAGUGGUUGUGAAGUGGCCGAUGGACACGACAGCUGCCGGCCGAAGUCCGCAUCCGUCAUGGAGGCUCUGGGCUAGAUGGAGCAUCGCAACCUGCUCCGGCUAUCUGGACGAGAUCGGCAACGACGUCUUGGCUUUGUCAAGCUGCUGUCGCGGACGGCGGAGUUUACCAUGCUCAGCACGUUGGACUUCGUUGAUCUCCUAAUGCAUAUAGAAAACACGUUCGUAUAAAAACGCUCAUUAGUGGUUUCUGCGUAAACUAGGUUUAGUAAUAUCCACGAGUUAGUUAGAUGAUCCAAACAAUGUUUUAGGUCGUUACAUCAGAAAUCGGGUUUAAAGAAAGGGUCUGUUUUAUGUCUCAUCUAACCUGAUCUCCACUAUGUUUGUGGUCUAUUUUUUUGUCCCAGCUUUUUUUUUGUUAUUCCUUGUUGCUGCCUUAUUUAUGGGAGGUUAGAUGUGACAUUCUUAGAAGACAUCUAGAUGUGAAUUAGACAAACUGUUAAAAAACUAGUUCUCUAUAAUCUAGGUAUCCAAACAACCGAGCAUCUACAGCUGCAUAUGACAAAUAUGAUUCUCAAACACCUACAGAUGUGUCCGAGCAGUGACCGGGCAUUCCUCAAAUUACCACAACUGCAUCUGGACACCCAAUACUAGAUUCUUAAAUUCAUACAAAAGCAUGCAAAUGAAAAAACCUACGUACUACGUAGAUCACCUAGCUACUCCUCAUCGGAGAAGUCGACUAUCUUCGUGCCCUGCUCCGGGUACAUGGGCGGCAACUGUAGCUCCGGCUCCUCCGGCUGCUCCGCUCAGCAUCCUCCUCUGUCUCCAUGUCAAGUUCGGCGAAGAGCGCAUCGGUCGCCGCCCGCUCCUGUCAGAGGAACUCCCGAUUAGCCUUCAUAUAGGCCUCAUCCUGGAUGGACUGAAGGAUGGCAUGCUGCUCUGCCAUCUUCGCAGCUUGGGCGACGACGAACUCCGCCUCUGCCUCCUUCAUCCUCAUCCCCCUCUGGAUCCGCCGCCUCCAUCGGCUCCAGCAAUUGCUCUCCCUCCUCCUCCUUCGGCUGCUCCUCCUCCUCUGGAUCUAGCGAGCCCAGAGGCAGCCCGACAACGAUGCGGGCGGUGCGCCUAGCCUGGAUCUCCUUCGUGAUCUGCCUCCGGUGCUCCGGCGUCAGCAUAGCAUACGUGGUGAUCUUCUGCCGGACCAUGGUGAUGCCGGAGAGCAUGGGAGAGCGGGAAAGAGGAUGCGGACGAGCUCGGGUGGCGGCGCAGAGAGGGAGCAUGUGGAUGGGCUAGGGUUGGGGGCGCCAGCCAACUUAAAUAGCCGGGCCUCGGGCGGUAGUCGGUGCGGCGGCACGCGACGUUCACACCGUGGCGACGGAUGAGGCAUCCGUCGGACCAUCGGGUUUCCGGUUGAUUCCACAUGAGGCCCCAUCAUCAAUCCUAUGUGGCGGACACGCCCGGGCGCUGAUGUCUACUACGUAACUUUAUUCUUGUAGACACGUGUUGAGCCUCCAAGCGCAGAGUUUUGUAGGACAGUAGCAAUUUUCCCUCAAGUAGAUGACCUAAGGUUUAUCAAUCUGUGGGAGGUGUAGGAUGAAGAUGGUCUCUCUCAAACAACCCUGCAAUCAAAUAAUAAAAAAAAUCUCUUGUGUCCCCAACACACCAAAUACAAUGGUAAUUUGUAUAGGUGCACUAGUU
rnacentral:lncRNA from 1 species